rnacentral:ncRNA from 1 species
UUUAUAUAGAGAAGCGAGGAAGUGUAAUCCGUAUCUGGGCACCUGGAUUACAUGGAGCUAUUGAUGCAACCGGCUCUAUUCGUA